GAAGAAUUCGUAGCUGCUCUGUGCUGCCUUUAUUACUGGUUAUGGACCACCUUCGUGGAACGACUCAAGGUCUCCACAGAACCUUGCUUCGGAAGCCCAGCCCCAGCCUCCUGACUCAGUCAGUCACCACUCACCUGCCCGGGGACCCAGCUCUUACCCUCCAGAGGUAGUACAUCAGGGCUUCUUGGUAGGAAUUUCACAUGGCAUGUGGAGGGGUCCCCGGCUAAGAACGCCUUCGUGGAACAAACCAGCAGUGACACGGGCGACCGGGUGAGCAAACGGAAGGGCUGAACACAGCACCAUCUACGUGAUGAACACAUAGCACUGAGCACCCAUGAAUCAUCUUGUGAUGUAGAUUCACUCCUCACCUUCCU